GGCGAUAGUUGGGUCGGUUCGAGAAAGCAGCACCAGCCCUGUCCUUCCUUUCCAAUGGUUCAUCAUCCCGCCGGCAGCUGACCAACUGCACUGCAUCUGAAGCGAAGGGAGGGAUUGCAGGACAGGCCAUUGUUUUCAGGAGUGCCCUACGCUGGCUGGUCCUCACUGUAAGCCAUGGCACAGACUAACAGCUAUGGACAGAGCAGCAAUGGAGUAGCGGAUGAAUCUCCAAACAUGCUGGUCUACAGAAAGAUGGAGGACAUCAUCGCUCGAAUGCAGGAUGAGAAGAAUGGCAUCCCCAUCCGCACAGUCAAGAGUUUCUUGUCCAAGAUCCCCAGCGUUUUUUCAGGUUCUGACAUCGUGCAGUGGAUGAUCAAAAACCUAAACAUUGAUGAUCAAGUUGAGGCUCUUCACCUGGGAACACUGAUGGCUGCUCACGGCUACUUCUUCCCCAUCUCAGAUCACGUGCUCACGCUGAAGGAUGAUGGAACAUUUUACAGGUUUCAGACUCCAUACUUUUGGCCAUCAAACUGCUGGGAACCAGAAAACACAGACUAUGCUGUUUACCUCUGCAAACGAACAAUGCAAAACAAAGCCAGGCUGGAGCUUGCUGACUACGAGGCUGAGAGUUUAGCGCGGCUACAGAGGGCUUUUGCACGGAAAUGGGAGUUUAUAUUUAUGCAAGCAGAAGCACAAGCUAAGGUCGACAAGAAGCGAGACAAAAUCGAGCGGAAGAUACUGGACAGUCAGGAGCGGGCGUUUUGGGACGUGCACAGACCUGUGCCCGGCUGUGUGAACACGACGGAAGCCGACAUCAAAAAAUCCUCCAGGAUGAAACAGCCUCACAAAACACGGAAGUCAGUGUAUGGCCUCCAGAAUGACGUCCGCAGCCACAGCCCCACACACACCACCACACCUGAGGUUAAAGAGCCCACUGAGGAGGAGCUACACCAGCAGAUACAGUAUUGGCAAGUGCAGUUGGACAGACACCGGUUAAAAAUGUCAAAAGUAGCUGAAAGUUUGUUGAGCUACACAGAACAGUAUGUGGAGUACGACCCUUUCUUCACUUCGCCAGACCCCUCAAACCCCUGGAUCUCAGAUGACAAUACAGUCUGGGAGCUGGAAGUCAGUAAGGAGCCGGGUCAGCAGAGGGUGAGGCGGUGGGGAUUUGGGUUUGAUGAGGUUCUGAAGGAUCCUGUAGGGAGGGAACAGUUCCUGAAGUUUUUGGAAUCCGAGUUCAGCUCAGAGAACCUGCGGUUCUGGCUGGCUGUGCAGGAACUGAAGAAGCGGCCCAUUCGCGAGGUCCCCAGCAGGGUGCAGGAGAUCUGGCAGGAGUUCCUGGCCCCUGGAGCGCCCAGCGCCAUCAAUGUCGACUCCAAGAGCUACGACAAAACCACCCAGAACGUCAAAGACCCCGGCAGAUACACUUUCGAAGACGCUCAGGAGCACAUCUACAAACUGAUGAAGAGCGACUCGUACAGCCGCUUCAUUCGAUCCAGUGCCUACCAAGAGCUUUUGCAGGCCAAGAAAAAGGUAAAGUUUCUCAAACGACUGGAGACUGCCAUCUAAUCGCCUGCCUUCAGCACAUCCAACCCACCCUACUGGCUGCCUCCUGCUGUUCUGGAGCAGCAGGAGGUUUUGGAGCCUGCGACUUCUACCAGAGGCUAAUGCCAUUACUAUGCAGCGAUGCCAUUAUCAUGCAGAGACUAUUUACUCUGCAGCCUGCAGGAUUUUGUGCCUUCUUUUUUGUUCACUUUAUCCUCAGGGACAGGUGCAUGUAUAGAGAGGAGCUCUAGAGUUAAGCAGACCAUGUUUCGUGGACUCUCUGGAGUCUCAUUAUCACAUCGCUUAUAUAGGGACCUGUUAUAUUGAGUUUUUUACCUUUGCGUCUGUGUCUGUACUCAAUUUGCUUUUUGGUUCUUCUUGUUGUUUCUGUCAGAUAUUUUCACUGCAUGUUCCUGUUGCUGUCUGUGUCACAGCUUUUGAUUAUUUUCUAUUUGGCUUCUGUUUUCGGCUCUGCCUCUUGUUUCUUCUUCUUUCUGUUUGUGCUUUUUUUGUUUCCUGUCUUUGUUGUUGUUUUUUUCUGUUCUCUGUUCUUCUGAAGUUCUGAAGCACAUAUACUAGGAAGGCAGAGGUUCAUGCCUUGUAAAUUGAAAAGCAAGAACCUGUUUUGAAGAAGUGACUGGGACAGCACAUCUAUGUCAGCCAGGCUGCCAAAUUUUGUGCAAUCAUGCUCAAGUACUACCACACUUCAGCUGGAGAAGAGGACUGUGUGUACAUUAUUGUAAUCUACUGUUCACCAUCACUAAAACCCACAGCAGUAGACCAGUUGUUGCAUGUCUGAUAAACUGAGGUACUGUACUUAAAAAAGACUGCUCUUUAUUUUCUUUCCAUUCUUCAUCUUUCUGUGAUGAGGCACUCUGGACUUUCUUCCACAGACUUGAAUUUGCGCACAUGCCUUUCCAAAAAUAAAACAAAAAAAGAGAGAAAGAAAAAGCCAUUUGCCCAGCUACAUCCUUAGUUACACAUACCAGCUGUAGCUGUCUGCUGUGAACUGAGAAUAGUAAUAAGGUUAAAUCUAUAAAAUCUAUAAAAAGCUUAGUAACAAUCUCAGUUGGAGUCCUUUUUUUCCACACUUGUAUGAACGAUCCUUACAACAACACACAUCACGUUCCAUUUCCCUUGUUGCACUACCAAGUUUAACACAGAUGCCACUGCAAUUGUAAAGUCACAUUUGAAUGAGGAGCUGUAUCAUUGUCUUACGUCGUUGACUUGAAAAUGCUUUUAACGUGUCUCAUUUAUUUUUAUACUAUAUUUAAGGAUAUGUUGAUUUGUUAUCUGUAUAUUAGUCUUUUUUGUUGUUGCAUUUUUGUAAAUAUCUGUAAAAAUCCUAGGUAAGCAGGGAAGGACAAACUAGAAAAGACAGUGUAAACAAAUUAAGGACAAAAUAUUUUUAAUCCUUCUUCCACCCUGUUACAUGUUAUGUUUGUUAGUGAAAAGAUUAACCAAACACAAGCUAUUGUGAACAUGACACUAUCAAAUGACACUAUCACUGCCUCUAAAUCGGAAGUCUUUGGAUCACCUGUGAUGUGCUUAUCAAGAAUGAAUGAACUAAUUUGUAUGAUGUUUUUAGUUGGGGUUUGUGAGUUUAUGAACAGAUAAUAUACAGCAUGUGUGGAAUGUGUUAGCUAGAACUUAUAAACAUGUGUAACAUAUCGCUGCUUUCAGAGCAAAACCUUGUAUCUCCAUUUUUGUCGUUUUCCAGCUUUUUACAUAAUUUGAAUAUGCCUGUAGUCCUUUACAUUGUAUGUAAAUUUCAUGAUGAAUGGACCAAAACAAAUGACCCAAAACCUCUGGUUCCAUUGAUUCGCAUUGAAAGUAAAGUGAAUUUUUCCUUCUCCUGUAAAGUUACAACAUUUUGUAGAUACAACAUUUUGUUGUGACUGCAGCGAUAUGUGGUGUUUGUGCUGGUGUGGGUGUUGCUGAACACUGUGGAUAUUGGUUUGGUUGGAUGUGCACUGGUUGGUGUGUAUGGAUGAGGAUAUACACUGCAGGUGUUUGUCUAAGUGGUUAAGUAAUGUUAGAGUUUACACUCACCAUCCACUUUAAUAGCAACACAAAUUUGAACAAUUUAAGCAAAUACAGUGGACAAUAAGACAAAAAUAAUGUAAUUAAAUGUCACUAAGCCAAACAAAAACAGGAAAAUUAAAUGGAAUAAAAAUUGGAAAAAGCCAAUAUAAAAUAAAUAAAAGCAAAUACAAUAAAUAAAACCAGGCAAUAAGCAAAGCCAAGGUCUUUUAACUUAGCGGCAUUAAGUAGUCCUUAUUUGUCAAUUUAAGAGGUCAAUGAGGCUCAUGAACCAAACCAUGUAAUGCUUUAGAGGUAAUAUAUACAAGUUUUCCUCCUAAUUUGGUCAUGCCCAGUUCUACCCACUAGUUAAGUCUCCCCCAGUCACACAAUCCUACCAGUGCUAAGAGGGUGAAGGCUAGCACAGGCUUCCUCUAAGUCAUUUGAAGCCAACCACUGCAUCUUUUUUUAACUGCCACUAACGCCACAUUAUUGGGACAGCUGAACGUAUUUGGGGGAGAACGUUAACUGCCAGGUCUGUUAUGUCAGGUAACAGAUGGCUGUGCUGGCUAGCAUCACAGUGAAUGACCAUCCUACCCACCCAGAGAGAGGCCAAUUCUGUUCUCUUGAACUCCCAGCCACAGAUGGCGCUAGCAUCACCAGGGAUCAAACUCACAAUGUCCUGAUGAUAGGACCAACGCCAUAUACAUCAUUUACAGAAUCUGCAAAAGAUAAAAUUACUUUUUAUCUUGUUCCUAAACUUAUAGUAAUAUGAUUGUACCAGAUGUUUUCACAUGUUCAUUAAUGUUUAUUUAUUAUUUAUUAACUUUGUCAAAAAUCACACCAAGGCUUUUGGAAUCUAGAGUUCUAAGAGCUUAUCUAGCACAAUUAGAAAAAAACUGAGACCUAAUAAUGAGACAUUGAGUCUCAAGUAUUCGUGUAGAACAGUAAACUUUUUUAAAACUGAUGGUUGAACUUUUUAUGUCAUCAGCAUAGAAAUUAAGUGACAAAUCAUGAUGCCAAAUAAUGACCCAGAGAUAACAUGUACAAAGAGAGCAAGAUAGGACCAAGGAGGGAGCCCUGAGGGACACCACAUGUUACUUUACCCUGAGAAGAUAUAUAAUCUGAUUUUCUAGUGCCCUCUACCCCUUCUAUUUUUUGGAGCCGAUGUUAUUUGAGACCAUUCUCAGCAAAGAAGUAACACAAACAAAGUAGUGUGUUUGCUGGUGCGAAUGUAUCAAGCACAGUUGCUGUUUUUAUGUCUAGUUUACUCACUGCUGAUAAACAUGAGCAAGGUGAAGCUACAAAGCAGAGGUCUCUAAUGCAGUGGCUGGUGAGUGUAUUGGUUAGUAUGUAUGUGUGGAUGUUCAUUAUUCUAAUGCAUGGAUGUGUGGUAUGGAGGAUAUUGGUGGAUAUAUGCAAUAUGUUGGUGGGUAUUGCAUAGAUACCACUGUAUAAUGUUGGAUGAUGUAUUUUUGUUUUUAUUUCAUUAUUCUUACCUGGUUAUUUUUUUCAUUGAUUUGACAAAACAUGAUUCAAAAUUGUGCAGUUUUUGCUAAAGAAAAUAACUUGAGGAUGGUGCUUGGAUUGGCUGAGAUGUUGAAGAACGUGAGUAGAUUUUGUUUUAGUAUAUGGGUGGGAUUGUUUGUGUUGUUGGGUAAUGCACUGUGCAAGGGCACAUCCUUUGCUCUAUUGUUACUCUCAGCACACCUCUGUCAGAUAAUAAUAAUAAAAAACAAAAUUGUUUUCAUUUGUCAUUAUAUUGUAACAAUAUUGUAAUCGAGGUGGCUAGAAUGGCUAAACCCUCCCUCUCUUUCAAAGAAAAAGUCAUGAAAAUAAGGUUUCAUUGGCAUUCACACUGUUUUACUUUGAAAUUAACAAAUGACUAGAGGCUACUUUUUUAAAUGACUAUGGACCCGAGGACAAUAGCUUUAAAAGAAGGUCAUAAGAAAAAUAUAAAUUGUUACAUAUGUGGGUCUGGUUUAAGUCUAGACUUAGGAUCCCCCUUUUUUACUGUCCAUUUGGACUAAUGUUUUUAAGUUUGUGAUGCUCAGUUCCACCGUCCUUAUAUCUGACGUCAGUACUAGUAAAGGUGGAAUAAUCCAGUUCUAAAACUUGAUUGGCUAAGACGUAACUCACUGUAACCCACUGUCAAAUACUAAUACUAAAAUGUCAAAACAGUGAGAGUCAUUAUUUGGCAAUGUGUGAAACCUUUAUAAGGCUACACAACACCUAAAAAAGAUUUUCAUAACGUAAAUUUUUCAUAAUGACAAAUCGUUGCCUAUAUGACUACUGUUGUUGAAAUAAGCCAGUGAUUUUUGGGGUAGGCUUGGCAAAUACAAUAGAUGCACUAUAAACCGCAAAGUCAUAACAUCAGAAUAGAGUCUAUAGCUGACAGCAGUGCAGACACUCCCUUUCCUAUUGCUUGUACUCUAAGGGGAUACAAAGCAAUAGCAAUCAACCUAAUUACUGCCUUUUCACAAACACAAUCAACAUGUUUGCUCACCACAGACACAAUGAUGAUGAUAUGUAAAAAUCAGACAGCCGAGAUGUACAAACAACACAGAAAACUUACACAAAAACCUAAACAUAAUCAUCCUAGACUAAAGCAUAUGGCCAUAGCAGACAGACCCACAGAAGACAACAUGAACAAAAUAAAAUUAGACUGUUGAGAUGUGCAAAGAACGCCAAACUUAAACACCUACUGCAACAGAGGGCAUGAACAAUGUUUAUGGGCCUUUUAUGUCUUACCUUUGAUUGAAUACAUUGAAGCAGAUGUUUCCUUUGACAUUCUGACACAUCUCAUUUUAGCUUUGUAGAAAUAGAGCGAGUACCAAAUUCACAUAAAACAGAAAAUGACAGCAUUUUAUAAAUUUGUUUUUGGGCAGAAAAUGACAUACUCAAUAUCACUUUAUCACACCCUCAGCUACAUUUUUGACCACAGCUGGAGCAAAUUCAAACACUGGGACACUGAUCAUAAGCUGAAGGCUUGAGGAGAUGGCAGACAACAGUGGUUGCUAAGCAGUGAUUAGAGGGCUGUGGGGAAAAAAGCAGAACUUAGUGGAGAGUGUAAUGAUACGACUGGCCAUAAUAAAAGUAAUAAUAAGUGACAUCAUUCCCCAAAAAAUGUAAAUUCAUUAUCUUAAAAAAUGCAAAAAUAGUAAACAUGUUCCCCCACCCCCAUUUGAUUGGUUUGGCCUGUAAUCAUUCUGACCAGGCUUACCUGUGGCUACACCUCUGGAGAAAGCCUUUAUAUGUGUUUGUAUAGGUUUGUCUGUUGUCAUGAUAACCGUAUAUAGGUGUUAUGUAGCCUCAUAAACAGUGAAAUUGUUAGAUAUUUUUGGCUCUGUUUAGAAAUUAUUUUAAUUAAAUUCUUAAUUUUAACUUCUUAACUAAUAUAAAUGAUCUUUUAUAUACAUCUUAAUUUAUAUAAAACAAAACUGUAUUGUUUCAAUUAAAUGUUCUCCUAGCCAUUAAGUAAUGGUACACACUUUUGCACAUUGAAUUAGUAGCUAUUUAGACAGCAUAGUUAAUAGUUUCAUUACUAUCGUAGCCACUGAUAGUUGUUUUUUUAGCUGUCCCAUCCAAUAUUAUAACCAGACAUCACUUGUUGUAAUCUUGGUCAUUUCAACAUUUGAAUAUACACAGAUUUUAGUAUGUAUACAAACGCUUGCUACCUGGCUCAGGCAUGUUGGGAGCUGGAAUAGAACAAAAGGAAAUGUGACUCUUUAAAAAAUGGAAAUCACUGUUAUGUCUAGAGUAUGUUUACAGGUAAUGUGAGGGAGGAGAAGGACUUUGGGAGUGCUGAAACAGGAUUGAGGAAUGAUGGGAUAAUGCAUGAAAAUCCAAAGCAGCCUGUAGCACGUACCAUGGCAGUAGGAUAAAUUGUAGUUGAAAUGCUGUCAGUGGAAGCUCACAGUUUAAAGGAAACUAAAGUAAUAGGCAGGAACAGGGUCUUUAUGCAAGAUGCCUGUUUUGCCCUCAGCACAAACUAAAGUUCCUGUCAGUUUACCAAACCUAAAAGAUCCUAUGAACAAGCACCUUUAUAUUCCAGUCGCCCGAUACGUGUUUUAAUCCACAGUGUUAGGAUGUUGUGUUUUUGUUUGUUUGUUUUUGUCUGACUACUGAGGUCCAAAGAGGGCUGUGUGUAGGGGCCCCAAGCACCAUUUAAAGCCCACUCCAGUCUCCGUUGUUACAUUUCCAGUAUCAACUCUGUGACGCUGUAAAUACAUUCCAAAUCUCAAUAAAGAGAUCUGAAGGGAAGAGAAGCA